GGCCUCGUAGCUCAGCUAUUAAAGCGUGCGCUGUACACAAGCGUAGGCGGUGUCCAUGCGUGGGUUCAAAUCCCACCGAGACUG
rnacentral:tRNA from 1 species